UACGUAGGGUGCGAGCGUUGUCCGGAAUUAUUGGGCGUAAAGAGCUUGUAGGCGGUUUGUCGCGUCUGCUGUGAAAAUCCGGGGCUCAACCCCGGGCUUGCAGUGGGUACGGGCAGACUAGAGUGUGGUAGGGGAGACUGGAAUUCCUGGUGUAGCGGUGAAAUGCGCAGAUAUCAGGAGGAACACCGAUGGCGAAGGCAGGUCUCUGGGCCACUACUGACGCUGAGAAGCGAAAGCAUGGGGAGCGAACAGG
rnacentral:rRNA from 1 species